ACGGCUUUCCGGAGUAGAGCCCUUGGAGGGGCUGGAGAGACUCCUGCAAGAUAUUGAGGCAUUUAGAAUGUAUGGUUCUGUUGCCGUGGUUGUCACCUCCGCUCUACGCCAAAUUUAAGACUCAUUUCUUAAGGAUGUCUCUAUUUUCUGCUUUAUUUGCACAUUGAUGGCUCUGCUGCUCAGCUGGCCACGGCCGCCCGGCGUCUGAGAUAGAAUUGUGUUAAUAUGAGAAAGGGAACGGCCGAUCAUGAUUAGCAGGCAGACGGCAUGCAGAUAGCAUCUGGCGGGUUUUCUCCGUUUUUAUAUGAAAGCGUUCACUUGUUUGCUGGUAAACACGAGGUUUUAACUUUUUAUCUGGGUAGUGGUGACCGUUUGUUUCACUCUCCCCUCCUUUUUACUUCCUAUUCAUUAGCUUUUCCGUUUGGAAAGCUGCAUACUUGUUAGCGGUAGUUUGGUGUCUUGACUCUGAAGCUUUCUCUUCCAGCAGAGGUGGGAUCUGUAUCCCUCCCAUCCUAGGUUACCAAGAAGACUUUUUCUCCCCUUACUUUCUAUUGAAUUUGUGUCUUUCCCAACAUUUAAACUUACACUAGGGAUAAGUUUGCUCGGGUUGUUUUUGACGUAGGACUAUUAAAUAUUCUCAUUUUGAAACUUCCUAAAGGUUUAUUGGUUUGUCAUGUCUGCACCGAUCCAGUUUCGCAUAACUCUUAAAAUUUAAAGCUUUAAAGUACGGUUCGCAAUUGUAUUGUCAAGACAUGGCCCUAGAGCUUGUUCUUCAAGUUUUGGCUGUACAGUUGUCAUUGUUUCAGUCAAGUGCAAAAGAGGUUAUUCCUGUUUAUUUAGUGUUAAUAGCUAUUUACAGUUAAAACUUUAAAGACUCAUAGAAGUAGGUCUGCUGUAUUUUAAAGAUCUCAUCAUUCUUGUGGGAGAGACACAACACCAACACCAGGAAAGGCAACAGAUUGCUUCUGUCAUAUCGCUUUGCUGUUUUGGAGUGUACUUAAAGGAUUAUGAUUGAUAAGGCUGUCUUGCCAGAGAAUGUUGACACAGGUGUGCAUCGUUAUCUUAAUUAAGAUCCUGAGAAAAUGUUGUCUAUAAAUGGUGACAUAAGAAGGGCGGCAUAUUUUUGUACAGUUUUGCUUUUGGAGAAUUUAAUUGCACUUGAAACCUGUCUUUGAGCUUCCAGAUUUUGUGAGCACUUUAGCAACAGAAGUUUUAGAGAGAAAUGAUAGUUUAAUGUUAAGUGUUCUGGCAUGUACUAAUACUACUUGUGGCUUUUUGGCAAUGCCUGUGUCGGCUUUCUUUGUGCUCUACCUUUGUGGAAUAAUGGUUUCUAAUUUUGAAAGAAAAGCAUAAAAUAGAGCAGUAUUUUAUUAAGCAAACACUUGUUAGUGUUCAGAAUAAGUCUGUAGAGGAGGGCAUGCUUAAUGUGCAGAAACAGGAAUAUAAUAAGAGGUGUUAAGUGUGAUGCUUCCAUAAUACAUUUGGAUGCUGUCAGCUAAGUUCACUUCUGAACUAAGGGGUUCCUCCAAAUGUUGGCUGAAAUUCAUCCCAAGGCUGGUCUGCAAAGUCUGCAAUUCAUAAUGGAGCUACUGUACUGGCUAUUGGAAGGAGGAGAUUCUGAAGAUAAGGAGGUAAAACCUGUUUAGAAAUUAAAAAUGAGUUACGAUUUAAAGAAAAUUCAGAUGACUCAUUGUGAGUGCUAGUUCUCUUGUAGGAUGCCACUGGAAAUGUUGAAAUGAAAAAUAUUCAGCCGUUGGUCUUUGAAAUUUCCUGUGAUGUGUUUCAAUCUAGAUGCAAAGAACAUGGAAAAAUCAAAGUGCUCGAGUGGUUUAAAUAUGUUUUGGGUAUUCCUGUUUAUAGACUAUAAUACUUUUCCAAUUAAAAUCCUCAGUUGUCACGCAGAAGAAGGUUAAGCUGUAUUUGAUUGCCAGUUUUACUGAAAAUGCUUAGUAUUUUACAGUAUCACCAAAUAUAUUUUGUUUAGCCAAGGUAUAGGAAAAAUAAAAUAAAUUGUAUAGGUUGA
rnacentral:lncRNA from 1 species